rnacentral:rRNA from 1 species
UACGUAGGUGGCAAGCGUUGUCCGGAAUUAUUGGGCGUAAAGCGCGCGCAGGCGGUCCUUUAAGUCUGAUGUGAAAGCCCACGGCUCAACCGUGGAGGGUCAUUGGAAACUGGGGGACUUGAGUACAGAAGAGAAGAAUGGAAUUCCACGUGUAGCGGUGAAAUGCGUAGAGAUGUGGAGGAACACCAGUGGCGAAGGCGUCUCUUUGGUCUGUAACUGACGCUGAGGCGCGAAAGCGUGGGGAGCAAACAGG